rnacentral:lncRNA from 1 species
AGGAGACAAACUCGCUGGUGGUCUGCUCAUGGCACCUCUUGGAUAGUAAGACUCUGGAUUAUUUUUUAAGGAAAAGAGUUUAAAUUGUGUUUCUGACCAAAUGGAGUGAAACAGGAGGUAUAAUGGAUGAAAAGUGCUGAACAGUGAAUGUUUGAGGACUACUGGAGACUUGCAUUCGUUGCUCUCUUACUAAGCUAUUGUUUGAAAGAUGGAAUAGGAAUAUUUUGGCAGUAAUCCUAUGAUAUGAAGAGGCCUUGAAAAGAAUCAGUCCACUCCAAAAUGUGGUAAAAUCAGAGCUAAAGAAGUCAGGAUAAAAAGUGAUCUUUUCUUUUUGUGAUAGUUUCUAUAAAGAUUUCAAAGCCUUUCACAGUAAGUACUACAGCUGUUUGACAUGCUAAACCAUCUUUCUUAUGUCAUAUAUGAAUUUAACUCACAAUUAGAGCCCAUUUUUG